rnacentral:rRNA from 1 species
AGUGAACGCUGGCGGUAGGCCUAACACAUGCAAGUCGAGCGGCAGCAGGGUACUUGCUCCUGGUUUCAGGUGCCGACGGGCGAGUAGUUCCUAGGUACCUGCGUAUCUGUGUUGGCUAACGUGCGGACACGGGCGCACAUACGCUAAUCGUCCAUAGGGCGUACGGGUGGGAUCUUGGGAUCUUCCGCUAUUAGAUGAGUCUAGGUCGGAUUAGCUAGUUGGUGGGGUAAAGGCGUACCAAGGCGACGAUCCGUAGCUGGUCUGAGAGGAUGAUCAGUCACACUGGAACUGAGACACGGUCCAGACUCCUACGGGAGGCAGCAGUGGGGAAUAUUGGACAAUGGGCGCAAGCCUGAUCCAGCCAUGCCGCGUGUGUGAAGAAGGUCUUCGGAUUGUAAAGCACUUUUGGUUGGGAAGAAAAGCAGUAAGUUAAUACCCCGCUGUUUUGACGUUACCAAAAGAAUAAGCACCGGCUAACUUCGUG